GAUCAUGGCUCAGGAUGAACGCUAGCUACAGGCUUAACACAUGCAAGUCGAGGGGCAGCGGGAUUGAAGCUUGCUUCAAUUGCCGGCGACCGGCGCACGGGUGAGUAACGCGUAUCCAACCUUCCGCAUACUCGGGGAUAGCCUUCUGAAAAGGAGAUUAAUACCCGAUGGUAUCAAGAGAUUGCAUGAUAACUUGAUUAAAGAAUUUCGGUAUGCGAUGGGGAGUGCGUUCCG
rnacentral:rRNA from 1 species